GGCAGAGUAGCAUGGCAGUAUCAUAGCCAAUGAGGUUAAUCUGAGGCGUGAUUAUUGCUAGUUGAAAACUUUUCCCAUUACCCAGGAUGGAAUCUGGCCGAGACACCAGGGCUAACGCCUGCCUACUCUUGUAUAAAGAG